GCAACCCAGGGCCUUCUGCUCUGAUUUCCAUCUCCGAGCACUGCCAAAAUUUAUCUUCUUUAUACUUGCUGUAUACAUCUUGAUACUGAAAGGGUUACUGUUGAGUUUCAUGAAGUCAGCUAUGUCUGCCCAUUAUUGCUUACCAACCUCCGUAGUCUGACAACUUCUUGUCCCCCUCCCAUGCUUCUCGGCCCUCUCCCCACUUCUUAUUCUCUACAGGCUGAUCAAGUUUUUCAUCACAUUCAUUUCUCAAAGUGAAGCCCUAUUUUCCUGGUGUCACCUUGAUCACACCUCUCACUCUGCAUUCAAUUCUUAGUCUACAUACCUGCUAUGGGAAGUCUUAUUCAAAUAAUGACUCUUAUUGUGAUCCUGAUCCGUAGCCACCAAUUCUCUGCUUGAAUGUAAGCCCAUGAACACUUACUCUGAAAUUUCUCUCAAAGCCAGCUAGUGCUUCCCUAGUGAUGUUAUCUCUUGCUGGGUUCCCCCUGGCCCUGAUAUAUUAGUUUCUCAUUGAAUACCCAGCCAACCUGUCCCCAUCGGGAUGAGAAGUCCCUUGUUUUAAAGGCAGGGCCAUGUGAGGCUUCCUCCCUUUAAAGCUCUUCAUUCAAAUCUCUCACCUGUAUUGGUUAUCUGCAGGGCCUUCUGCUUGCUUUCCCAGUGGCAGGUUAAUUCCCAAGGCCCUGGUGUAGUUACUCACACAUCUUUCUUUGUCCUGUUCAUGUAGUGUAAUUUGGAUCUGUGUAGUACUGUAUUGAGGUUAGGACCAGGAAAAAUCUCUUUC
rnacentral:lncRNA from 1 species